CUGCAGCCCGAGUGGUGAUCGAUUUUAUUGAGCCUAAAGCGUCCGUAGCCGGACUAGUAAACCCUUGGGUAAAUUGGGCAGCUUAACUGUCCACAUUCCGAGGGGACUGCUAGUCUUGGGACCGGGAGAGGUCAGAGGUACUCAAGGGGUAGGGGCUAAAUCCUGUAAUCCUUUGGGGACCACCAGUGGCGAAGGCGUCUGACUAGAACGGAUCCGACGGUAAGGGACGAAACCCUGGGGCGCGAACCGGAUUAGAUACCCGAGUAGUC
rnacentral:rRNA from 1 species